GCACUCUCUGCCUUGGACUAGAAGUGGCACAUCGCUUCUGUGCGAGGUCCGUUGGCGAGAACGUCACGUGCCCAGGCUCACUGUGAGGGCGGCUGGGAGCACCAUUGUCGCGUGUCCAGAUGAGGAGACGAUGUGUUGCACACAGCAUUGUCUGCCAUAUCAGGAACGUGCUGGCUGCUGUCUGGGGAAGGGGAGGGGACAAGGCAUAAGCGGGAAAACGAAUUCUCCAUGCGAAGCAGGUCUCCUCUGCCUCCCGCCGCCCUACCGUCAGGAGCUGAGAGAACCUCCUGGCCCCUAAGAUUUCUCUUGAGACCUAACACCAAGGCCACAGCAAGUGCCCCUGCAUCGUGCCCCAACAGCGCCAACCGCAACCCACUGUGAAAGGGCCAGGUGGGUGUCUCUGAGGAUCCCAUUUUGCAAACGAAGAAACUGGAGCUCCAGGGUGUCACUGGCGAAUGACAGGCACAACCAGGACCCAAACUGAUGCCCGACUGACUCUUCCCAUCACCAUAGAGUGUUGCAGACACUAGUGGCGUGGCAGGGCCGCCGUCGAUGGCUCUUCAGUGUGCAGCAGAAGACACGGCCGAGCUUUGUGGGAACGUGCUCAAAAGAACGGCAAAGCACCCAGGGACACGUGUGGCUUAAGGCCAGCUGACCGUGGCACAUGCUGCACGUUGCUCCCCCUGCACCGAUUCCUCCCAUUCUUUUCCUAAUAAAACACUGAUUUUGUUCUCUGUGCACGCAUGAGUUUCAGGCACCAUUUCCCAGCCCAGGAAGAGAAUCAGGAUGUCA
rnacentral:lncRNA from 1 species